GGGAGCAAGCGUGGUUCGGAUUUACUGGGCGUAAAGGGCGCGUAGGCGGUCGUGACAAGUCACUUGUGAAAUCUCCGGGCUUAACUCGGAACGGUCAAGUGAUACUGUCGGACUAGAGUACAGAAGGGGCAACUGGAAUUCUCGGUGUAGCGGUGAAAUGCGUAGAUAUCGAGAGAACACCUGCGGCGAAGGCGGGUUGCUGGGCUGAUACUGACGCUGAGGCGCGAAAGCCAGGGGAGCGAACGGG
rnacentral:rRNA from 1 species